rnacentral:lncRNA from 1 species
AAUUACCUUGUUACUUUCAUAUUUAAGGAAUUUAGAUUUUUCUUGUAAGCCCUAAUCCUAAUCAGUGAGCUUUAAUAAGUUGUAACAUCCAAUCCGACCGUCCACUUGAUGUGGAAUUUUGCAUACAAUUAUCAAUGCAAGUCUUUUACAUGCUCAAGAAUUUUUAGCCCAAUCCAACUUAUAGAUUGUGAGAAAACCUCCAAAAAAUUGUACUGAUGUCACUCGGCGACCAACUUGAAAAGUGAAGCAGAAAUCCCAGUAGUGAUUUCUUCCUUUCGAAUUGUUAAGUUUGUCUCAAAAUUAGUAUGUAGCUUGAUCUUCAAGUCCUUCAAU